UAUUAAAAUUUUUAUCCAUUUCUACCAUUAAAAACUAGCGUGACUGAAAAGAAUAAUAAAACAUUUACAUGUGACAUGUCAUGUGUACCUCAUGCUGACGUACAUGAAUUAGUUUUUAACAAUAAAAAUAGAUGAAAUUUUUAACA
rfam:Gossypium raimondii Chr06_contig_62, whole genome shotgun sequence.